rnacentral:rRNA from 1 species
GUCGUAGGGCGCGAGCGUUGUCCGGAUUUAUUGGGCGUAAAGAGCUCGUAGGCGGCUUGUCGCGUCGAAUGUGAAAUCCCGAGGCUCAACUUCGGGCUUGCAUUCGAUACGGGCAGGCUAGAGUUCGGUAGGGGAGACUGGAAUUCCUGGUGUAGCGGUGAAAUGCGCAGAUAUCAGGAGGAACACCGGUGGCUAAGGCGGGUCUCUGGGCCGAUACUGACGCUGAGGAGCGAAAGCGUGGGGAGCGAACAGG